GACGAACGCUGGCGGCGUGCUUAACACAUGCAAGUCGAACGGAAAGGCCCUGCUUUUGUGGGGUGCUCGAGUGGCGAACGGGUGAGUAACACGUGAGUAACCUGCCCUUGACUUUGGGAUAACUUCAGGAAACUGGGGCUAAUACCGGAUAGGAGCUCCUGCUGCAUGGUGGGGGUUGGAAAGUUUCGGCGGUUGGGGAUGGACUCGCGGCUUAUCAGCUUGUUGGUGGGGUAGUGGCUUACCAAGGCUUUGACGGGUAGCCGGCCUGAGAGGGUGACCGGCCACAUUGGGACUGAGAUACGGCCCAGACUCCUACGGGAGGCAGCAGUGGGGAAUAUUGCACAAUGGGCGGAAGCCUGAUGCAGCAACGCCGCGUGCGGGAUGACGGCCUUCGGGGUGUAAACCGCUGUCGCCUGUGACGAAGCGUGAGUGACGGUAAUGGGUAAAGAAGCACCGGCUAACUACGUG
rnacentral:rRNA from 1 species